GUGGCUCGGGCAGGCGCUGCACCAUGGGCCUGGCCGCGUUCCCGGCCGGAUUCCUCCGGAUGGAGCCGCUUUCCGAGCCUGCCGAGCGGAUCGAGCGCACCGGGGCGCGCCAGACGCCGAGAUGGUGCCGAGAGUGUCGUAGUCAUCCAGACCGUCGCAGAUCACGCGCCACUGCGAGAAGACAGAGUUGCUGCUGAUGGAGUUAAGGUCAAAGCUGCUUCUCGCGCCCAAUAGAUCAUCGGUGCAGAUAUCGCACGUGCUGCCGCCAAUCGCAAAAUUCCAAUACGGAAGCGCAAAGGAGGGGUCCUGGAGCAUAUCCUGUAUUAAAAUAUGUUAAAUAUCACAUUAUCUGCAUAGGAAGUAUUACAUUUGGUGCAAAAGUGAAGCGGGAUGUUUACUGAAGGCAUUUUCUGCAACACAUUUGCACUACGACGAACAUCAUUCAAGGAGAGAGAAAAGACGAAAACCAUGCGUAACAUCAGUUGCCAUGUAGGAAUGCCUUUGCAAAAUUAACUUAAGAGACUAAAUAUAAAGUAGGCCUAAUAAGUAAUUUAUAGAGAAAUUAAAAGCAAAUGUCAUAUGAUAAAAUCUGACGUAAAUUCAAAUAAUGCAAAUGUCAGACAGCAUUCAUUUUCACUGUCAUUUAUAAUAUUUCCAAUAUAGUUUGUCAUUAUUAAAUUGAUGAAGGCAAAUAUAUAGUGGUAACAACCAAUUCAGCCAGAGCUCUCCUUUUGUAUUUGAAAAUAAAUUUGAAACGCUU